UAGUCCACGCCGUAAACGAUGAGUACUAGUUAUUGCGGGUAUUAAUCCCUGCAGUGACAAAGCUAACGCAUUAAGUACUCCGCCUGGGAAGUACGGUCGCAAGACUAAAACUCAAAGGAAUUGACGGGGGCCCGCACAAGCGGUGGAUUAUGUGGUUUAAUUCGAAGCUACGCGAAGAACCUUACCUGGACUUGAAAUCCUGAGAACUAAAUAGAGAUAUUAUGGUGCCCUUCGGGGAACUCAGUGACAGGUGCUGCAUGGCUGUCGUCAGCUCGUGUUGUGAAAUGUUGGGUUAAGUCUCGCAACGAGCGCAACCCCUAUUGUUAGUUACCAGCAUUAAGUUGGGGACUCUAGCAAGACUGCCGGUUAACCGGGAGGAAGGUGGGGAUGACGUCAAGUCCUCAUGGCCCUUAUGUCCAGGGGCUACACACGUAAUACAAUGGGUGCAUACAAUGGGAAGCGAACUCGCGAGGGGGAGC
rnacentral:rRNA from 1 species